AGAGGUAACCUAUUUGAAGGCAAAAUAUGAAGCACUGCAACGCACUCAAAGGCCUUUUCUUGGAGAGGAUCUUGGACCAUUGAAUGUUAAAGAGCUGCAAAACCUUGAGAAACAACUCGAAGGAGCUCUUGCACUGGCUAGACAAAGGAAGACACAGAUCAUGAUAGAACAAAU